rnacentral:rRNA from 1 species
CAGUCGUACGCUUCUUUUUCCCCGGAGCUUGCUCCACCGGAAAAAGAAGAGUGGCGAACGGGUGAGUAACACGUGGGUAACCUGCCCAUCAGAAGGGGAUAACACUUGGAAACAGGUGCUAAUACCGUAUAACAAUCGAAACCGCAUGGUUUUGAUUUGAAAGGCGCUUUCGGGUGUCGCUGAUGGAUGGACCCGCGGUGCAUUAGCUAGUUGGUGAGGUAACGGCUCACCAAGGCUACGAUGCAUAGCCGACCUGAGAGGGUGAUCGGCCACAUUGGGACUGAGACACGGCCCAAACUCCUACGGGAGGCAGCAGUAGGGAAUCUUCGGCAAUGGACGAAAGUCUGACCGAGCAACGCCGCGUGAGUGAAGAAGGUUUUCGGAUCGUAAAACUCUGUUGUUAGAGAAGAACAAGGAUGAGAGUAACUGUUCAUCCCUUGACGGUAUCUAACCAGAAAGCCACGGCUAACUACGUGCCAGCAGCCGCGGUAAUACGUAGGUGGCAAGCGUUGUCCGGAUUUAUUGGGCGUAAAGCGAGCGCAGGCGGUUUCUUAAGUCUGAUGUGAAAGCCCCCGGCUCAACCGGGGAGGGUCAUUGGAAACUGGGAGACUUGAGUGCAGAAGAGGAGAGUGGAAUUCCAUGUGUAGCGGUGAAAUGCGUAGAUAUAUGGAGGAACACCAGUGGCGAAGGCGGCUCUCUGGUCUGUAACUGACGCUGAGGCUCGAAAGCGUGGGGAGCAAACAGGAUUAGAUACCCUGGUAGUCCACGCCGUAAACGAUGAGUGCUAAGUGUUGGAGGGUUUCCGCCCUUCAGUGCUGCAGCUAACGCAUUAAGCACUCCGCCUGGGGAGUACGACCGCAAGGUUGAAACUCAAAGGAAUUGACGGGGGCCCGCACAAGCGGUGGAGCAUGUGGUUUAAUUCGAAGCAACGCGAAGAACCUUACCAGGUCUUGACAUCCUUUGACCACUCUAGAGAUAGAGCUUCCCCUUCGGGGGCAAAGUGACAGGUGGUGCAUGGUUGUCGUCAGCUCGUGUCGUGAGAUGUUGGGUUAAGUCCCGCAACGAGCGCAACCCUUAUUGUUAGUUGCCAUCAUUCAGUUGGGCACUCUAGCAAGACUGCCGGUGACAAACCGGAGGAAGGUGGGGAUGACGUCAAAUCAUCAUGCCCCUUAUGACCUGGGCUACACACGUGCUACAAUGGGAAGUACAACGAGUCGCGAAGUCGCGAGGCUAAGCUAAUCUCUUAAAGCUUCUCUCAGUUCGGAUUGUAGGCUGCAACUCGCCUACAUGAAGCCGGAAUCGCUAGUAAUCGCGGAUCAGCACGCCGCGGUGAAUACGUUCCCGGGCCUUGUACACACCGCCCGUCACACCACGAGAGUUUGUAACACCCGAAGUCGGUGAGGUAACCUUUGAGCC